GCGUUGUCCGGAUUUAUUGGGUUUAAAGGGUGCGUAGGCGGCUUUGUAAGUCAGUGGUGAAAUACUCCAGCUUAACUGGAGGGGUGCCAUUGAUACUGCAGGGCUUGAGUUAAGUUGAAGUUGGCGGAAUUGACGGUGUAGCGGUGAAAUGCUUAGAUAUCGUCAAGAACACCGAUAGUGAAGACAGCUAACUAAACUUUUACUGACGCUGAGGCACGAAAGUGUGGGGAUCAAACAGG
rnacentral:rRNA from 1 species